AUUGAACGCUGGCGGCAGGCCUAACACAUGCAAGUCGAGCGGGAACUUCGGUUCUAGCGGCGGACGGGUGAGUAGUGCGUAGGAAGCUACCCGACAGAGGGGGAUACCAGUUGGAAACGACUGUUAAUACCGCAUAAUGUCUACGGACCAAAGUGUGGGACCUUCGGGCCACAUGCUGUCGGAUGCGCCUACGUGGGAUUAGCUAGUUGGUGAGGUAAUGGCUCACCAAGGCGACGAUCCCUAGCUGGUUUGAGAGGAUGAUCAGCCACACUGGAACUGAGACACGGUCCAGACUCCUACGGGAGGCAGCAGUGGGGAAUAUUGGACAAUGGGCGAAAGCCUGAUCCAGCCAUGCCGCGUGUGUGAAGAAGGCCUUCGGGUUGUAAAGCACUUUCAGUAGGGAGGAAGAGUUGAGUGUUAAUAGUACUCAGCUUUGACGUUACCUACAGAAGAAGCACCGGCUAACUCUGUGCCAGCCGCCGCCGUAAGAC
rnacentral:rRNA from 1 species